UACGUAGGGUGCAAGCGUUGUCCGGAAUUAUUGGGCGUAAAGAGCUCGUAGGCGGUUCGUCGCGUCGGCUGUGAAAACCCGGAGCUCAACUCCGGGCCUGCAGUCGAUACGGGCGGACUUGAGUGUUGCAGGGGAGACUGGAAUUCCUGGUGUAGCGGUGAAAUGCGCAGAUAUCAGGAGGAACACCGGUGGCGAAGGCGGGUCUCUGGGCAACUACUGACGCUGAGGAGCGAAAGCGUGGGGAGCGGACAGG
rnacentral:rRNA from 1 species